rnacentral:rRNA from 1 species
UGCGCCUUGCCAGCCGCUCAGAAACUACAAAGGAAGUUCGACGGGGGCCCGCACAAGCGGUGGAGCAUGUGGUUUAAUUCGAUGAUACGCGAGGAACCGUUACCUGGGCUCAAAUGUAUGUUGACGUAUUCUGAAAGGGAUACUUCUUCGGACAAUAUACAAGGUGCUGCAUGGUUGUCGUCAGCUCGUGCCGUGAGGUGUCGGGUUAAGUCCCGCAACGAGCGCAACCCUUGCCUUUAGUUGCCAGCAGUUCGGCUGGGCACUCUAAAGGGACUGCCGGUGUUAAACCGGAGGAAGGUGGGGAUGACGUCAAGUCCUCAUGGCCUUUAUGACCAGGGCUACACACGUACUACAAUGGCCGAUACAAAGGGCAGCGACACUGCGAGGUGAAGCCAAUCCCGUAAAAUCGGUCUCAGUCCGGAUUGGAGUCUGCAACUCGACUCCAUGAAGUUGGAAUCGCUAGUAAUCGUGGAUCAGCAUGCCACGGUGAAUACGUUCCCGGGCCUU